rnacentral:rRNA from 1 species
CCGAAUGGGGCAACCCAGCAUGGUGUGAAUCAUGUUAUCCAGUAAUGGAGGCGAACCAGGGGAAGUGAAACAUCUCAGUACCCUGAGGAAGAGAAAUCAAAUGAGAUUCCGUCAGUAGCGGCGAGCGAACGCGGAUUAGGACAAACCCUAUGCUUGCAUAGGGGGUUGUAGGACCAAGAUAUGAGACCAAAGAAGAUAGAUGAGAUAGUUGGAAAGCUAUAGUAUAAAAGGUGAUACUCCUGUAAUCGAAAUCUUCAAUGGCUCUAUUGGUAUCCUGAGUAGGACGGAACACGUGAUAUUUUGUCUGAAUCUAGGGGGACCACCCUCUAAUCCUAAAUACUACUUACAGAUCGA